rnacentral:lncRNA from 1 species
AGCCCCUGUUGCCCUGUGAUCUGUAGGUUAUUGGGGACGCAUAGUUAGGGCAUCAGGACAUCCUGGAAGCUGGGAAAUGAUAUGUAUUCAUUUCCUACCACCGUAGUGGAAGAAGACUAUCCCUAUCUUUACACUGAUAGCAUUUCCAACAGUAAGCUGUGAGAUUCUGCUUGAAAUCACCUCUCAAACAAAUAAAAAACAGACCUGGGAAACUGCUACACUCAUUCUGCUGAAGAAAUAGGGCAAGAAUAUUUUCUAAGACCCCGAACUCCAGAUAUGCGAUGGGGCAAAUCCUGAAGUGUACAUGGCUAUCUCUCACUGCUAAAUCAUCCCUCACCCCUAUCCAGCGCUUCUUACCCCUGGCGCAAGAGAAUCACCUGCGGGGAGGAAAACUUUCAAAAUCCCUUAAACCCAAGUUGUAACCGCACAAUUAAAUCAGAAUCCUUGGAGCUGGAUCUGAAAAAAAUAUGGUUUAAAGUUGUGCAGGUGAUUACAAUGUGUAGGCAAGCCAAAAACCAUGGCUUUAACAGCAGCUUUUGUUAGAAAUGAUUUCUCAAAUGAAUGUAAAAACGUUUGCUGCUGAAUUGUGACCUUUCAAUUUUACCUGCUUUUCCUGCAAAGUAUAUUUUGCAGACCCAGGCUGCUUCUCCUUCUGUUCCUGGUUCACCCAGUGCCGUGUGUGCUCAGUGCAUCCUGUGCACGGGUCACUGUGCUGUGUGCGCUGGCCUGGGUGAGCAUCAUUCUUCGGGGAGAACCUUUCUGAAAACAAAGCUGCAUUCCAAAAAGUUAAAACCAUGCUACUUACUGUAUGAGGUAAAAAUUAAAAGACCUAGGGGACUCAUCCAAAAGUUAAAACAUAAAUAAAUAUCUUGGAACAUUAA